rnacentral:rRNA from 1 species
GACGAACGCUGGCGGCGUGCCUAAUACAUGCAAGUCGAACGCUGAAGGCGGAGCUUUCUUCUCUGGAUGAGUGGCGAACGGGUGAGUAACGCGUAGGUAACCUGCCUUGUAGCGGGGGAUAACUAUUGGAAACGAUGGCUAAUACCGCAUAGUAGCAGUUGUUGCAUGGCAACUGUUGGAAAGGUGCAAUGGCACGACUACCAGAUGGAGCUGCUUUGGAUUAGCGAGGUGGUGGGGUAACGGCUCACCAAGGCGACGAUACAUAGUGGACCGGAGAGGGGGGUCGGCCACACUGGGACUGAGACACGGCCCAGACUGCUACGGGAGGCAGCAGUAGGGAUACUUAGGCAAUGGAUGGAAGUUUGAGCGAGCAAGGCCGAGGGCGGGAAGAAGGUUGUCGGAUCGGAAAGGUCGGUUGUAAGGGAAGAAAGAGUGUGAGAGUGGAAAGUUCACAGUGUGACGGUAUCUGACAAGAAAGGGACGGCUAACUACGUG